GGCUGAUGUUUGGCAGGGGUCCUGUUUCCUUUAGCUCCAGGCUAGAAAUUAUGGAGUUUAUGCAAAGUCCUGGUUUGCUUUGUGUGAAACUAAAUGAUGAAGUGAGCACUGGAAACUUGGGAAGAUAUGUGGCUUGUAGAAGACUGUGUUACCACCGGUAUGUCCCCAAAGCAGUAAUGAGUCGAUUCCACUCACAAAUUGAAUUGCAUAUUAUAUUUGACCAAUUUCAACCAACUAUCCAUGGAGAGAAGAGCAGAGACUGUCCUAGGCCAGAAGACAGUGAGAGUCUAAGUCAGUGGUGGUGAACUUGUGGCAUGCGUGCUGCACUUUGUGUCACUGCAGAAGGCUCUCCCUAACUGAUCCGUAAUUUACAUGGAAAGCACUUUGAAAAACAAUCUACAAGGAAUGAGCUUCUCAGAUGACUCUCCUGUCUCCCUGUGAAAAAUGCAAUCAUCCAUAGCUGAAGCACUUCUGUCUACAAAUCAGUCAUUAAAGCGGAAGGUCUUAAGCCAAGGGCAAGCACUUAAAAGAAAAAAAACAGCCCUAUAAGUUAUCAUUACUUUUGAUUAAUGUGAUCUGUGCACAUGGAAAAUAAAUCUGUGGGCAUAUUUAGGUAGCUAGUGACUGAGACUUGAUUAUGGUUGUCUUUCUUACAUAAAAUCAUGAGAGGCAUGCAUUGGAGGCAUUAGCAAGCCUGGGUUAUAUCAGAAGAUCUCCAGUAACGUGAAACUUCUGCAGACAUCAUCAAUCCUUCACAGCCUUUUAAACAUGACAACGAGUUACCUUAAGUUUUCUUCUGCUGUUGCAUUUUCCAGUGUUCAAAUAAUAAAGAGGCAUCAGAAAUGGAGCCAACUUCCAGACUUUUUAUCAGUGGUUCCAAGGGCCACCCCCUGCCCUUUAAAGUUUAACUACUAUGAGAUAUUGCAAAAAAAAAAAAAAAAAAAAAGC
rnacentral:lncRNA from 1 species